AUCUUCGGAGGAGCAGAUUCAGCACUUCUGUUCCCGCCCACGCCGUUGUACAUCACUGCUGAUUAACCGUGACCCUCGUCUGGCACAGACACCCAGUGAGGCCAUUUGUCCUGACCCCAGGUCUGCAGCCGCGUUUGCCCGACCACAGUGUGUGCUGGCACGUCGGGCUGAGCACCAUAUGUGACAGGAUGUCUGUAAUAAUGUCUGCAGAGCUCUCCUCAGCCUUCUGCGAGCACUAUUUAUGAGGCGGCCCUGUUAUUUGGACGUGUGGAGGGGAUAGUUGGCAGGAAUGAAGGCAGUUUGUCCUCUUAGCAUUUACUUAAGACGCUCCGUUGUUUUUCUGCGAUGGAAAAUUUGAACAGCCGGUCAAACCGAAAGUCUAGGGAUCGGAUCGGUCCAAAAUGGCAGCUUUGAGCAAACUUUUCCAAGUCGACUCCUCUCCUGUGGCAUUGUUAUGAAGCGAAACAGGUGUUGUUCCUCCUACAGAGUCUUCGGAGCUUUGCUUUAAACGCUUGAACCCCUCCGAGAGCUUGUGCAGUAUUUGCUUUCUGUUUCUUAAGUGGUCCUUGGCGUGUUAAACUCGACUGAUCACGCUCUCGCUCUCUGAGUGCAUCAAAGCAGAAGAAAAGUUUCUAACGUGCUCUGAUUUUCCACCGAAACGUGAGUAAUGAUGAUAUUAUCACCUGUCAGCUGCGGUAACCGCGCUGUGGCUGACUCUGAGGUUUUCACAGCUCUCUGUGCCGCUGAAUAGUUGAACUUUCACUCUUUUUAUAGAGCUGGAAACAGCUGCCACAUCAAGAGUAUAUUUUUCCUGUCAAUUUGUGAGCUGUUGGUGUUAAAAUUGGCCGACGGGGGAUUAAAAACGCAGCAGGACACGUGUUCAGAGGCAAUUGUUUUUCAGGAGUUCAUAAUGAGAAACCGGAGAUCGACUUUAACACUUUUUUAGGGUGUUACUCAUAAGGAUAGAAAGAAGAUUAGAAACUUAGUCCACUUGCAUUAUACUUCAGCAAAGGGUUAAACAUGGAUUUGCAAAAUGAUGAUCUUCACGGCUCGGUUUGGGGGUCAUUUCUUGUGCGGCGAAUCCUGUCGUCGGGCCCUCAGAAGCUGAUCAGAGAUGUUUGAAACUGAUCACGGUUUAAAAGGAGUCAGAUGAAGUUGUAGCUCUUUUAAUAUCUAAUCUACAUCUUGUCUGCCUGUUUUAAUUUUGACACCAACAACAGGUUUAAAGAAAGUUUGGACUGGGAAAUGUUCACCGCUGUGUUGCAGCAUUUAGUUUUUGAAGUGUGCGCUUCUAUUAAAGGGAUAUUCUGCGUAAAAUUAUGUUCUUGUCAAACACACCGUAACACCGAGUUAGACACCCCCGUCGAGAGAUGAAUUUUGCAGACUGCUUGCUUCUCUAGUUAUACCAACUUUAGUAACGACCGAAGGAUAGCAAUACACAGCGGUCUAUGGGUCCACGCGCCAACCUCAACCAAAACACCA